rnacentral:lncRNA from 1 species
GUGCUGUGGAAAGGUGUUGGAAGAAGCAUUUUUGUCUCAGAAUAUGGAGAAAGAGAGUAUCAGGACUGGCCUCCUAAAUUUGGCACAGAGAUUGCAACUCUAAGACAGCCAUUUUGCAGCCUACGUCUUCUUCUCUUUCUGCUUGCAUCAAAUUAAUCAGAUACAAGUUAGAGAAAGCUUCCAAAAUCUGAACAGAUGAAGAUCAAUUGAUAAAUCAACCCAGCGAUUCACCG